rnacentral:rRNA from 1 species
UACGUAGGGUGCGAGCGUUGUCCGGAAUUAUUGGGCGUAAAGAGCUCGUAGGCGGUCUGUCGCGUCGGAUGUGAAAGCCCGGGGCUUAACUCCGGGUCUGCAUUCGAUACGGGCAGACUAGAGUGUGGUAGGGGAGAUCGGAAUUCCUGGUGUAGCGGUGAAAUGCGCAGAUAUCAGGAGGAACACCAGAGGCGAAGGCGGCGACCUGGACAAGCACUGACACUCAACUACGAAAGCGUGGGGAGCAAACAGG